AUGCGGAACCGCGUACUUUUUGUAGAACGGUCCGGCGAGUUGUGCAUGCUGGCAAGGUUAAGCGCUAAAGGCGUGGAGCCGUAGGGAAACCAAGUCUGAAUAGGGCCAGAGUCAGUAUGUGCAGACCCGAAACCGGGUGAUCUAUCCAUGUCCAGGUUGAAGCUGCCGUAAGAGGCAGUGGAGGACCGAACCCACAUCCGUUGAAAAGGGUGGGGAUGAGGUGUGGAUAGGGGAGAAAUUCCAAUCGAACCCGGAGAUAGCUGGUUCUCCUCGAAAUAGCUUUAGGGCUAGCCUCGAUAGAGAUACAUGGAGGUAGAGCACUGAAUUUCCUAGGGGGCGUCAAAGCCUACCGAAGAAUAUCAAACUCCGAAUGCCAUGGAAUUGAUUAUCGGGAGUCAGACUAUACGAGAUAAGUUGGAUAGUCAAAAGGGAAAGAGCCCAGACCUCCAGCUAAGGUCCCAAAGUACGUGUUAAGUGGAAAAGGAUGUGGGAUUUCGAAGACAACCAGGAUGUUGGCUCAGAAGCAGCCAUACAUUCAAAGAGUGCGUAAUAGCUCACUGGUCGAGAGGUCCUGCGCCGAAAAUGUCCGGGGCUAAAACACGACACCGAAGCUGAGGAAUGUAGUAAUACAUUGGUAGAGGAGCAUUGAAUACGGGAAGAAGCAGUACCGAAAGGAGCUGUGGACUGUAUUGAAGAGAGAAUGCCGGAAUGAGUAGCGAGAAUAAGGUGAGAAUCCUUAUGGCCGAAUAUCUAAGGUUUCCAGGGUAAAGCUGAUCUGCCCUGGGUAAGUCGGGACCUAAGGCGAGGUCGAAAGACGUAGCCGAUGGACAACAGGUUGAGAUUCCUGUACUGCGUUAGAACAGAACUGUGGGGACACGUGUGGAAAGCACAACCCGGGAAUGGAAUCCCGGGGCAAGCGAAGGAGGAGUCACAUAGGAAAAACCGUGUGGCAAUCCAAAAGCGUGAUGCGGACCGAACUAGAGUAGGGAAGUGUGUGAGCCAUGCGUCAAGAAAAGCCGCUAUUGUUUGUAACGUACCCGUACCGUAAACCGACACAGGUGGAUGAGGAGAGAAUCCUAAGGCCGACGGAAGAAGCAUUGCCAAGGAACUCGGCAAAAUGACCCCGUAACUUCGGGAGAAGGGGUGCCCGUGUAAAAGCGGGCCGCAGAGAAUAGGCUCAAGCAACUGUUUAGCAAAAACACAGGUCUAUGCGAAACCGAAAGGUGAGGUAUAUGGGCUGACGCCUGCCCGGUGCUGGAAGGUUAAGAGGAGAUGUCAGGAAACGAAGCAUUGAAUUUAAGCCCCAGUAAACGGCGGCCGUAACUAUAACGGUCCUAAGGUAGCGAAAUUCCUUGUCGGGUAAGUUCCGACCCGCACGAAAGGCGUAAUGAUUUGAGCGCUGUCUCGGCAAUGCAUCCGGUGAAAUUGAAGUACCAGUGAAGAUGCUGGUUACCUGCGCCAGGACGGAAAGACCCCAUGGAGCUUUACUCCAGUUUGGUACUGGGAUUCGGUAUUGCAUGUACAGGAUAGGUGGGAGACUAAGAGGUAGUGACGCCAGUUGCUACGGAGUCGAUGUUGGGAUACCACCCUUGCAGUAUUGGGUUUCUAACCAGCCGCCGUGACCCGGCGGUGGGACAAUGCCAGGCGGGGAGUUUGACUGGGGCGGUCGCCUCCGAAAGGGUAUCGGAGGCGCCCAAAGGUUCCCUCAGAAUGGACGGAAACCAUUCGAAGAGUGCAAAGGCAGAAGGGAGCUUGACUGCGACACCGACGGGUGGAGCAGGUACGAAAGUAGGGCUUAGUGAUCCGGUGGUAUUAAGUGGGAAUGCCAUCGCUCAACGGAUAAAAGCUACCCUGGGGAUAACAGGCUUAUCACUCCCAAGAGUUCACAUCGACGGAGUGGUUUGGCACCUCGAUGUCGGCUCAUCGCAUCCUGGGGCUGUAGUAGGUCCCAAGGGUUGGGCUGUUCGCCCAUUAAAGCGGUACGCGAGCUGGGUUCAGAACGUCGUGAGACAGUUCGGUCCCUAUCCGGCGUGGGCGUAGGAUAUUUGAGAGGAGCUGUCCUUAGUACGAGAGGACCGGGAUGGACAGGCCGCUGGUGUAUCUGUUGUAGUGCCAACUGCAUGGCAGAGUAGCCAAGCCUGGAAGGGAUAAACGCUGAAGGCAUCUAAGCGUGAAGCCCCCCUCAAGAUGAGAUAUCCCAUUC
rnacentral:rRNA from 1 species